UACGUAGGGUGCAAGCGUUAAUCGGAAUUACUGGGCGUAAAGCGUGCGCAGGCGGUUAUGCAAGACAGAGGUGAAAUCCCCGGGCUCAACCUGGGAACUGCCUUUGUGACUGCAUAGCUAGAGUGCGGCAGAGGGGGAUGGAAUUCCGCGUGUAGCAGUGAAAUGCGUAGAUAUCGAGAGGAACACCGGUGGCGAAGGCGAGUCCCUGGAAAACACCUGACACUGAGGCACGAAAGCUAGGGGAGCAAACAGG
rnacentral:rRNA from 1 species